AGAUGGGCUUGCGCCUGAUUAGCUAGUUGGUGGGGUAACGGCCUACCAAGGCGACGAUCAGUAGCCGAACUGAGAGGUUGAACGGCCACAUUGGGACUGAGACACGGCCCAAACUCCUACGGGAGGCAGCAGUGGGGGAUAUUGGACAAUGGGGGAAACCCUGAUCCAGCGACGCCGCGUGAGUGAAGAAGUAUUUCGGUAUGUAAGGCUCUAUCAGCAGGGAAGAAAGAAAUGACGGUACCUGAGUAAGAAGCCCCGGCUAACUACGUGCCAGCAGCCGCGGUAAUACGUAGGGGGCAAGCGUUAUCCGGAAUUACUGGGUGUAAAGGGAGCGUAGACGGUAAUGCAAGUCUGGAGUGAAAGGCGGGGGCCCAACCCCCGGACUGCUCUGGAAACUGUGUAACUGGAGUGCAGGAGAGGCAGGCGGAAUUCCUAGUGUAGCGGUGAAAUGCGUAGAUAUUAGGAGGAACACCAGUGGCGAAGGCGGCCUGCUGGACUGUAACUGACGUUGAGGCUCGAAAGCGUGGGGAGCAAACAGGAUUAGAUACCCUGGUAGUCCACGCCGUAAACGAUGAUUACUAGGUGUGGGUGGGUAUGGACCCAUCGGUGCCGCAGCAUACGCAGUAAGUAAUCCACCUGGGGAGUACGUUCGCAA
rnacentral:rRNA from 1 species